rnacentral:rRNA from 1 species
AACGCUGGCGGCGGCUUACACAUGCAAGUCGAGCGCCCCGCAAGGGGAGCGGCAGACGGGAGAGUAACACGUGGGAACGUACCCUUCAGUUCGGAACAACCCAGGGAAACUUGGGCUAAUACCGGAUACGUCCGUAAGGAGAAAGAUUUAUCGCUGAAGGAGCGGCCCGCGUCUGAUUAGCUAGUUGGUGAGGUAAUGGCUCACCAAGGCGACGAUCAGUAGCUGGUCUGAGAGGAUGAUCAGCCUCACUGGGACUGAGACACGGCCCAGACUCCUACGGGAGGCAGCAGUGGGGAAUAUUGGACAAUGGGCGCAAGCCUGAUCCAGCCAUGCCGCGUGGGUGAUGAAGGCCCUAGGGUUGUAAAGCCCUUUCGGCGGGGAAGAUAAUGACGGUACCCGCAGAAGAAGCCCCGGCUAACUUCGUGCCAGCAGCCGCGGUAAUACGAAGGGGGCUAGCGUUGCUCGGAAUCACUGGGCGUAAAGCGCACGUAGGCGGUUUCUUAAGUCAGGGGU